AUGAAGAUGGUUUACUGUCUAAAGAAGUUGUCAAAAGAUGCUAUACCAACCAACUAGUGACAGAUAAUUCCAAGACAAAUGAAAUUUGAAUUGUGAAGUUGCUUAAGAUGAAUCUCUUCUUAAUCACUAUCCUUACUCAGUAAUUACUUUAUAUAAUUUUAUGCAUUACUCAACCAUAUUGCCAACUAGCAUUUGUUUUUCUGGGUGCAUAUAUAAAUGGAAGCAACAGAAGAAGAGUUGUUGGGUGGACCAUAACAUUCAUAUGCUUAGGGGCAUUUGUCCUCACAUUAAUGUUUAACUUUUCUUAGCAGUUAUAUCCGUUUCACAGUGUGUGGAGUCAGAGGCACUUUUCUCAUGUCUGGAUUCGUCUUCCUAACCUGUACAUAUCAAGAUGAUGUAAGGCACAAAUUUGGUCACUAUGGAGGUUUCACAUGCCCAUUUGGGCCACUGCUGCCUGCCUACAGCUUGCAUUCUCAUCAAUUCCUACCUACUUAUUAAUCUCGGAAGUGAUGGAGAAAUUUCAGAAGUGGUGAUGCCUAAAAAUCGAUGAAAGUGAUGGAUAUGGUUUACAAUGCCUCAAAUAACGAGCUCGUCUGAACGUAGACUCUUUUUAAGAGUGCUAUUGUUCAGGUUGAUGCUGCACCAUUCAAGCAGUGGUACCUUCAGCACUAUGGUGUUGAAAUUGGUAGAAAAAAGAAAUCAGCUGCAACCAAGAAGGAUUCUACAGAGUAGUUGGCUCUUCUUUCAAAUCGGAUGUCUUUUUUCUCAAGAUCGUCAGCUAGAUUCCCACAUUGAAGAGCAGUUUGGUGGUGGUCGUUUGCUGGCCUGUAUUUCAUCUCGUCUAGGUCAAUGUGGCAGGAUUCAUUGAUACAUCCUCGAAGGUAAGGAACUAAAAUUUUCCAUGAAGAAGUUACAGAGGAAGAAGGAAAAUGGUGUUGCUUAAUUGUAGUGUUUUCCGUCUUAUAUAUGACUUCAUUUGUUUUUAAUAGUGCAACAAUAUUUGGUACAUUUCAAGUUGAUGUCACUUACUUUGGAUGAGACAAUGUUUAUCAGACAACUUUUAGGUUGAUGCCCUAAGACAUCUUUAGUGUCAAACCUUCACUAGUUAUGUGACAAUUUAUCAGCUCUGAAUUUUAUAACUUUGAUUUUGUAAAAAAAUUCUGAUUCAUUGUAAUUGAUAUUUAAAUGUAAAGUUUCCUAUGAA